UGCUAUGAUGAUUUGCUCCUCAACUGUUCGCUUAUAAAUUCUUGAAAAAUUCUACUAUAAGAAUUAUUCGUAAGUAAUCCUUGGAUGUCUGAGC
rnacentral:snoRNA from 1 species